AAGCAAAGCCAAAACAGCGUGGAGAAGGAAACGACAAAAUGCCCAUCUUGCUAUUUGAAACGAACAAACAAUCAAUGACUUCACCCAAUAAAAUAGCCAACCAAAACCAAAAGAUGACAAAAGGAAGCCCAUUUUCUCUUGAUUUCAGCCUUUCACCACACCAAUAAUCAGUGCUGCGCUAAAGCGAAAGAAAACAACUUGUAGUGGAGGCAUGAUCAUGAUUGUGCUUCCCCCUGUGUCAAAAGGAGGCCAAAAAACACCUCAUUUCAGACUUUCCCCACUCUGUUUAAGUGCACAGCAAACUGGCUCCGACUCUGGUCAUGGUUUCAGCGGAUCGGACCAGCGAAGAGCGGCGUUACCUUGUUGAUUGCACUCCUGGCGGCGUCGGCGGCGCGGAGCAGGUGCACCGCCGUAGUGUGCUCUUGCUAUGCACCCUCCGGUAGCUUCAACAACAAAGGCGAAGGAAGCAAGACGAGCACUUUUUACAAGACGCGUUCUUUUGCAGAAAAGAGAGAUGGGGUCGGGCAAAACUUCCGUAAUCAUGAACUACAAGAUGGGAGUGGAAAUGGGUCUAAUGGGGUUCGUGUUGAAUUCCCAAAUCUCAAGAGCAAUCUGAAGAAGAAGACAAACGAGGAGGAGGAGGAGGAGAAAAUUUUCGCUACAGAAACAAGGAAAGUGAACUGGCCAGAUGCCCAUGGCAAAGAUAUUGCUCAUAUCCAAGAGUUUGAACCGAGUGUGUCAGGAGAUGGGGAGCUUGAGGGAGUAAGAAACUCUUGUGUGUGCACAAUUCAAUAAAACAAGAAAAGAAAAAGGUAUGUUUUCCUUUCCUUUCAUGCAUCUUUCUUUCAAUAACGAGUGCAACCUGAUGCAAUGACUGAAGGAAGUGUCCCUCAUGUUCUAGUUUGUCAAGCCAUAACCUGACACAGAGAUUUUAGGCCGUAGGAUAGAUGAUACAAGGGCCAUAUUUAAAGCCUGAAGGUUCCAAAAGAAGGGAAAUCGGCAACAUUAAAAUUACCUUCUGGGGAGGUCUGUUUGGUUGCUUCAAAGAAUAAUAUGGCUAUGGUCCUAACCAAUAAGUACUACAUUUUGCUUGUAGGGAUACCGAGAAACUGAUGUUAUAACCUCCAUUAAAGCCUUCUAAACAAUACAAGAAUUUUAAAUGUAUUCUACUCGAAUAAUUGGGAUAUGUUUGAUUUGAUAUCAUGUACAUUUCGAGGGGCAAAGUUACUCUUUGGACACUAUUAUUUAAAAGGGUUAUUCUCCUCGUUUAACAAACUGGGUAGAGAAAUACUAUGGAUGCAGUUCUUUGACGAGUU